GACGAACGCUGGCGGCGUGCUUAACACAUGCAAGUCGAACGAUGAAGCCGGAGCUUGCUCUGGUGAAUUAGUGGCGAACGGGUGAGUAACACGUGAGCAAUCUGCCCUUGACUCUGGGAUAACUGCGGGAAACUGUAGCUAAUACCGGAUACGACACCUUGGGGCAUCCCAGGGUGUGGAAAGAAUUUCGGUCAAGGAUGAGCUCGCGGCCUAUCAGCUAGUUGGUGAGGUAAUGGCUCACCAAGGCGACGACGGGUAGCCGGCCUGAGAGGGUGACCGGCCACACUGGAACUGAGACACGGUCCAGACUCCUACGGGAGGCAGCAGUGGGGAAUAUUGCACAAUGGGCGAAAGCCUGAUGCAGCAACGCCGCGUGAGGGAUGAAGGCCUUCGGGUUGUAAACCUCUUUUAGCAGGGAAGAAGCGAAAGUGACGGUACCUGCAGAAAAAGCACCGGCUAACUACGUGCCAGCAGCCGCCGUAA
rnacentral:rRNA from 1 species